rnacentral:rRNA from 1 species
AACGAACGCUGGCGGCAGGCUUAACACAUGCAAGUCGAGCGCCCCGCAAGGGGAGCGGCAGACGGGUGAGUAACGCGUGGGAAUCUACCCAUCUCUACGGAUAACGCAUGGAAACGUAUGCUAAUACCGUAUACGUCCUUCGGGAGGAAGAUUUAUCGGAGAUGGAUGAGCCCGCGUUGGAUUAGCUAGUUGGUGGGGUAAAGGCCUACCAAGGCGACGAUCCAUAGCUGGUCUGAGAGGAUGAUCAGCCACACUGGGACUGAGACACGGCCCAGACUCCUACGGGAGGCAGCAGUGGGGAAUAUUGGACAAUGGGCGCAAGCCUGAUCCAGCCAUGCCGCGUGAGUGAUGAAGGCCCUAGGGUUGUAAAGCUCUUUCACCGGUGAAGAUAAUGACGGUAACCGGAGAAGAAGCCCCGGCUAACUUCGUGCCAGCCGCCGCCGUAAGAC